CCAGCAUUUACUGUCUGCGAGUUGCUUUUAUUCUCCCGCAAGGAGCUGGAUCCCCGUGUUCCAAACUGGCACAGACCCACCAGCUUCAAAGCGGGGAAAAUUCCUCAUCGGGCAGGGGCUUUGGCGGGGCGCCCUGGUGAAUGGAAGUGCCUCUCCAGGGGGCAGCAGCCAGGAGAUGCCCAGGCCCAUGGUCUCAUUAACGGUGCACAACAUUCUGCCUCAUUUUCCUUGGCGCGAGGCGUGGGUUUUCCUAAGCCGAGAGGUGAGACGUGAACGCCGAGUGGAAGCCCAUGGCACGCUUGGGCUGCACAGCCGGCACUUUCUGAGCUCAGGCAAGUGGGUGGGCGUGUCUGAGACGCCGACGAUGGGUGGUCCGCUCACGGCGCAGGGUACCUGAGACAGCUGCAUCCUGGAGCAGAAAGACCGCGGCAGCUACUGUGCAGGGGAGAGUGGGGUGUUGACAGGCGGGUGGACGCCACGUCACCAUCUCAGCCCUGGUGGGAACCCCGCCGGGCUCUUACAACAUUGAGCUUUGGGUCUAAAUUCGUGCCUCAUGGCUGCCUCGGCUGAUGCCGACGUGGGUUAGCCGCCUCUGUGCC
rnacentral:lncRNA from 1 species